AUAUUGCACAAUGGGCGCAAGCCUGAUGCAGCGACGCCGCGUGAGCGAAGAAGGUUCUCGGAUCGUAAAGCUCUGUCCUCUGGGAAGAAAAAAAUGACGGUACCAGAGGAGGAAGCCCCGGCUAACUACGUGCCAGCAGCCGCGGUAAUACGUAGGGGGCUAGCGUUGUCCGGAUUUACUGGGCGUAAAGGGUGAGUAGGCGGUAAUGUGUGUCAGAUGUUUAAUCUAUGGGCUCAACCCAUAUCAGCAUUUGAAACUACGUAACUUGAGUGCAGGAGAGGUAAGUGGAAUUCCUAGUGUAGCGGUGGAAUGCGUAGAUAUUAGGAGGAACACCAGUGGCGAAGGCGGCUUUCUGGACCGUUUCUGACGCUCAGAUGCGAAAGCUAGGGGAGCGAACGGG
rnacentral:rRNA from 1 species